rnacentral:rRNA from 1 species
CCUACGGGGGGCAGCAGUCGAGAAUCAUUCACAAUGGGGGAAACCCUGAUGGUGCGACGCCGCGUGGGGGAAUGAAGGUCUUCGGAUUGUAAACCCCUGUCAUGUGGGAGCAAAUUAAAAAGAUAGUACCACAAGAGGAAGCGACGGCUAACUCUGUGCCAGCAGCCGCGGUAAUACAGAGGUCUCAAGCGUUGUUCGGAAGCACUGGGCGUAAAGCGUGCGUAGGCUGUUUCGUAAGUCGUGUGUGAAAGGCGCGGGCUCAACCCGCGGACGGCACAUGAUACUGCGAGACUGGAGUAAAGGAGAGGGAGGCGGAAUUGCCGGUGUAGCGGGGAAAUGCGGAGA